rnacentral:rRNA from 1 species
ACGAACGCUGGCGGCGUGCUUAACACCUGCAAGUCGAACGGAAAGGCCCUGCUUUUGUGGGGUGCUCGAGUGGCGAACGGGUGAGUAACACGUGAGUAACCUGCCCUUGACUUUGGGAUAACUUCAGGAAACUGGGGCUAAUACCGGAUAGGAGCUCCUGCUGCAUGGUGGGGGUUGGAAAGUUUCGGCGGUUGGGGGUGGACUCGCGGCUUAUCAGCUUGUUGGUGGGGUAGUGGCUUACCAAGGCUUUGACGGGUAGCCGGCCUGAGAGGGUGACCGGCCACAUUGGGACUGAGAUACGGCCCAGACUCCUACGGGAGGCAGCAGUGGGGAAUAUUGCACAAUGGGCGGAAGCCUGAUGCAGCAACGCCGCGUGCGGGAUGACGGCCUUCGGGUUGUAAACCGCUUUCGCCUGUGACGAAGCGUGAGUGACGGUAAUGGGUAAAGAAGCACCGGCUAACUACGUG